CAUAUUUGCUAUCUUGUUUUGGCUAAUGCCUCCAGAUUUUUUUGGCUUGGACUGAUGAACUGUUUUUCCAGAAAUGGAGGACUUUUGCUUUCCACAAUGGACAAUACCUGAAGGGACUGGUUUUCUUUCACACUGGAACCUGGUACACUUUUCAUCUGAGACUGCAUCCCAACAUCCAUAUAUUCGAUCUUCAUCACCAUAAAAACGAUGGCCAAAAAAAAAGGGGGGGGGAGAUACUGCAGGAGGCCUUGUUGCCCCAGCCAGAUAGGAUACUGACAAGAAGCUAAGAGAAAGGGCCUCACACCGUGGGGCUGAAAAUCUGCCAUUCCUUUGCUUUUUGUUCUUGGUCAUAAAAAAAAAUUUAUUAAAAAAUAUAUUGGGCAGUAAAUGGUACGUGUCAACAGACUGUGGGUGGAUGGCAUGAAAAAUUAUCUGUUUAAAAAUUAGUUAUUAAACAAUUUGGCCCACUUGACAAUGAAAGGCAAUUUAUUGUACAUGCCUGACAAGCAAUCCAGCACAAUAAUUCUAGUAGGUCCUUCUUUUGCCUUCUCUUAAAGUUUCUUAAAAAAGUUUUUAAAUAAAGCUACUUAAGUUUAAAAGUUUCUAGGUAAAAACAAAGUUCUAAUAGCUGAGUAACAGCUGGUCUCCAGCUGAAGGCCAUGCAAAUAAAAAAAGUCUUUUCUUGCUUGGACUUUAGCUGAUAGGAUGUACUGGCGGCUAUCUAUUGUCUUAGGCUGUUGUUUAGCUAAAACAAUGAGUUUUAGUGUAAGGCUUAGUUUUUUCAUUAACUUGAAGGUUGCCUUCUCGCUAAGAGCACACACGUGGUGGCCAAAAGUCUAUAAAAAAAGGGGGAUGCACUAAUUUUUCUGCUUUGUAUGUAUGUAUAUAAUAAUGCCAUCUCUCGGCUUGCUAAAAAGUAUAAAUAAAAAACCUGCUGAGCCCCUCAGUAGAAGAUACUGGCACCUCACCAAGUGUCAGUGUCUCCUCAUUCUACCUCAUCCCCUUCCCCUCAGCCCCUUUCGCUUCACCUAGGCCGUCUUUUCCUUUCACGGACUUCUGACCCGACAUUUUGCCAAAAGCUGGUCUUCGGCACUUGCCCAUAGUUUUUGGUAUCAAAAUCAGCCCUAUGUCCCCGACAAACCGUAGGGCCAAAAUGUAGGAAAAUAAAGUGUUAAUGUCGUUUUGCCGGGGACAUUGGAAGAUGUGCGACCACCUUUUGGCCCCCUGAUCCGGGAGCCUGGCCAGCGCCCGGACCAGGAGCCAAAAGACAGGGCUGGUUAUGUAACUGUUCGCGAUGUCCGGGACCACCAAGAAAUAUGGCUGGUUAUGUAACUCCGGGGCGUCGCGCACAGAAACGUGACCAGCCCACCAUGAAUCCCUGGGCUUGGAUACUGGCCAUAUCCGACCUUGGGAGAUAAAAACACAGUGGUCGCCCAGCUGCUGCUGAACUUGGAUACGUCUCCUGUGCUGUUCUCCGGAGUGCUGACUCUGCCUCCGUGAUGCUGAUUUCUGAGGAAACUGUACAUGGCCCCAAGGAUACACAUGACCCACCACCCCACCUCUGACCAGAAGGUCACCCUGAGGUGCUGGGCCCUGGGAUUCUAUCCUGCGGACAUCACCCUGACCUGGCAGUGAGAAUGGGAGGACCUGACCCAGGACACGGAAUUAGUGGAGACCAGGCCUGGGGGGAAUGAAACCUUCCAGAAGUGGGCAGCUGUGGUGGUGCCUUCUGGAGAGGAGCAAAGAUACACAUGCUAUGUGCAGCUGCUGGAGCCCUGAAUGCUGGCUUGGGUGCCCCCUUCUCAGCCCAUAGUCCCUACUGACUCCAUCCACUCCACCAUGGACAUCAUUGCUGCCCUGGUUCUCCUUGGAGCUGUGCUCAUUGGGGCUCACUGUAGCUGUGAUGUGGAGGUAGACGCUCAGGCAGUGACAGUGUCAAGGAAUCUGAUGUGUCUCUCACAGCUGCUAAAGUGAGCCAGCUGCCUUGUGGGGGCUGAGUGAUGCAGGAUUUCUUCUCACCCCCACUUUGUAACUUCAAGAUCCUCUGAUUUCCUUUGCUGCAAAAGGCGUCAGUAUGUGUCUCUGUUCUUACUAGAUAAUGUGAGGAGGUGGGGAGACUGGCCCAGCCCUGCCCACCAGGCCUCUCCCCACACUGACCUGAGUCUCUUCCUGAUGACUUUCCUGCUCUAGCUGAGGCAGCUUGGUCUGCAUCUACCCCUGUUUUUGUGUUUUCCUCAAGAAUAGUAACUAUUUCCUCCUUGAAAUAAUAAUUUGAGUUCUGGAAUUACUUUUUGUAAGCUUGCCCAAUGGCUUUGGUGGGCUAAUAAAAAUGAUUUCCAAAAUUUGAUAUGAAAUAAAUGGGAAACCUUUCAGA